rnacentral:misc_RNA from 1 species
UUUCCGUAAGUGAACCUGCGGAAGGAUCAUUAUUGUAUAACCGAGGUGCGAGGGCUGUCGCUGACCCGAAAGGUCGUGCACGCCCGAGUGCCCUCACACACAUCCAUCUCACCCCUAUGUGCACCACCGCGUGGGUCCCCCUUUGGCUUGUUCGGAGGGGGGCUUACGUUUUCACACAAACUUUGUAUGCAGUGUAGAGUGUAUUUUUUGUUUUUGCGAUCACGCAAUCAAUACAACUUUCAACAACGGAUCUCUUGGCUCUC